rnacentral:piRNA from 1 species
ACCAAGGAGAGAGGAAACUGUAG